GACGAACGCUGGCGGCGUGCUUAACACAUGCAAGUCGAACGGUAAGGCCCUUCGGGGUACACGAGUGGCGAACGGGUGAGUAACACGUGGGUGAUCUGCCCUGCACUUCGGGAUAAGCCUGGGAAACGGGGUCUAAUACCGGAUAGGACCACUGCCUGCAUGGGAGGUGGUGGAAAGCUUUUGCGGUGUGGGAUGGGCCCGCGGCCUAUCAGCUUGUUGGUGGGGUGAUGGCCUUCCAAGGCGACGACGGGUAGCCGGCCUGAGAGGGUGACCGGCCACACUGGGACUGAGAUACGGCCCAGACUCCUACGGGAGGCAGCAGUGGGGAAUAUUGCACAAUGGGCGCAAGCCUGAUGCAGCGACGCCGCGUGAGGGAUGACGGCCUUCGGGUUGUAAACCUCUUUCAGCACCGACGAAGCGUAAGUGACGGUAGGUGCAGAAGAAGGACCGGCCAACUACGUGCCAGCCGCCGCCGUAA
rnacentral:rRNA from 1 species